CCUACGGGGAGGCUGCAGUGGGGAAUAUUGGACAAUGGGCGAAAGCCUGAUCCAGCCAUGCCGCGUGUGUGAAGAAGGCCUUCGGGUUGUAAAGCACUUUCAGUGGGGAAGAAAGCCUUGGGGCUAAUACCCUCGAGGAAGGACAUCACCCACAGAAGAAGCACCGGCUAACUCCGUGCCAGCAGCCGCGGUAAUACGGAGGGUGCGAGCGUUAAUCGGAAUUACUGGGCGUAAAGCGCGCGUAGGCGGUCUGAUAAGCCGGUUGUGAAAGCCCCGGGCUCAACCUGGGAACGGCAUCCGGAACUGUCAGGCUAGAGUGCAGGAGAGGAAGGUAGAAUUCCCGGUGUAGCGGUGAAAUGCGUAGAGAUCGGGAGGAAUACCAGUGGCGAAGGCGGCCUUCUGGACUGACACUGACGCUGAGGUGCGAAAGCGUGGGUAGCAAACAGGAUUAGAUACCCUAGUAGUC
rnacentral:rRNA from 1 species